rnacentral:rRNA from 1 species
CCCGGGCCUUGUACACACCGCCCGUCAAGUCAUGAAAGUCGGUAACACCCGAAGCCGGUGGCCCAACCUCUUGUAGGAGGGAGCCGUCUAAGGUGGGACUGGCGAUUAGGACU